rnacentral:rRNA from 1 species
UACGAAGGGUGCAAACGUUGCUCGGAAUCAUUGGGCGUAAAGCGCACGUAGGCGGCUUGCCAAGUCGGACGUGAAAUCCCUCAGCUCAACUGAGGACGUGCAUCCGAAACUGGCGAGCUUGAGCGCUGAAGAGGAUCGCGGAAUUCCCGGUGUAGAGGUGAAAUGCGUAGAGAUCGGGAGGAACACCAGAGGCGAAAGCGGCGACCUGGACAAGUACUGACACUCAACUACGAAAGCGUGGGGAGCAAACAGG